CUCCAAGAUCAUAUCUCAUCUUGAACUACCGCCACUCCUAGCCAUUGCCUCCGGUCGUAUCCACCUCCGCCGCUGCCGCCUCUUUCUUUCAGCGCCACUCCCGAUCUCAAUCCAAUUUGUGAGGUUUACAUAAUUUUUGAGGACGACUCGAUUUGUUGGUCUUGCUUCGCUAAGCUAAGGUAAUCAGGGAUAAUAUGGGGAAUCAGUAAUGAGAGAUUAUUGGAUGUUCAAGAGUAUCUAAAGACUCUUUAUUUUGUUAAAUCAUGUACUUUUAAAUGAACUUAAGACUUAGGGUAUUUUUGAGACGUGUAUGUCACCUUGAAUCCUAUCUUAUAUUAAGUGGAUGCGUUUUGGUUAUGAUAUUCGUAAUAGUGACGCUCCGACCUGCCCCGGGUUGGGGUGUUACAACAAGAGUAUUUGUAUUCCAACAAUUUUCGUUAAACGAAAC